rfam:Arabis alpina cultivar Pajares Aa.chr2_contig_3968, whole genome shotgun sequence.
CAAAGUGAUGAAUUAAAUCACAAUUGUCACUACCUCUGAGGCAUUGUCUUUCCUGUUUUUAGCCUUGUGAUUGCAUCUAAGAACGGAGAUAUGAAG